GCACGAGAUACAAUACUGGGCAUUUAAAGGGAUAAUGAUCAGAGUCCACAAACACAGCGAACACAGCACUAUGCAGCCACUUCAGAACUUUGAACUGCUGGAUUUGCUUUGCUGUUGCUGUCUACUUGGCGUUGAGCAGGAGGCUGGGAGAAGUUUGGCGUUGUCAUAAAUGUCUCCAACGACCAUGGCAGUUAAAUGAUCCACCAGAAGUUGUCAUCUCUUUAAAAGCCCUAAAUCCUAGUCUAGGUCAGUUUCAGCAAGAGCCAGUCUGAGCAAACCUGAGGAUCUUAGAAGAUUUUCAAAGAAUGCUUCAUUGAGUCCCAUGAGGAAUCUUAAGUGAGUGGUGCUAUGACAGUGGU